AGCAACGUUGCCAGGGAAACAGAGUGGGACCGCUCCUCUUAGUGUUGCCUGUGGAUCCAUGUCCCAGGUUUUGUGAUUCUUCUUCAGGCGCUACUAUGGAGGUGACAUUCUUUUAUCAUACCAGCUGUCUCUGACAUCCAUUACCCUUUAAAGUCAGCUAUGUCAUGCAUGUCCUGGCAUGCUGUGCCCUGCUUGUUCUGGAAGCCAGGUGUGUGGUUAGAACAUGAAGACGGGAAUACAUAGUCUACUGUGAGAUGUGUCUCAGAGCAGCCAUUCACGUCCAAAAGCCUAACAAGCAACAUAAAGUUAUUAAUGGCAUUUACAAUUCACCACUUUUAUAUCUGGUUCCUGUCAAAAUGCUACCUACUAGAAACAGAAACAUAAAAUUGGACUGGAUCAAGAAAGUUUCAUCGCUGCCUUCUGAAAACAAUGACAUGUAGCAGUUCAUCCUUCGCUAUGACAUUUAAAACCAUCAAGAGCAGAACAACACACUUCACACACCUCCAGCAUCCUUUUUCCAUGACCUGUUACUAAACUAAUGGCUAUGCUUUGGAUAUUGCUGUCGUUUUUUAAAACAAUCAAGGUCUACAUUUUUUAUAUCAACAAGCAGACUGAGGGGUGAAAAUAAGCUGUCCUUAUAGAGAGGUUUUUGAGACAGACAUACAAGUAAGACCCCCAACUAAGGAGGAGGCAAGACCACCAUGGAUUCGGGAAGUGGAUUCAUACAGCCACAAGCAAAGCAAUGGCUGGAGCCAACAUAAGCAGGAAGAGGCCAGACAAGAGAUUCUCCCCAGAGCUUUCAGAAAGAAGACUAGCCUGCCGAGACCUUGAUUCAAACUUCUGGCCUCCAAAACCAUAAGAGAAUAAAUGUCUAGUGACAUAAGUCA